AUAAAAAUCCUUUUUCCUCGAAAAUCGUGCAUCAAAUAUGAAAUCGCUAUGAACGGAGUCCGAUACGCGCCAGAAGCCAAUUCUCCUCAUCAGCCUCUCCGGAAAGCCGGAGUUACUAUUCAUUUUAAGUGAUUAGUAUUGAUCGCGUAACUUCUCUAUUCUAACUCGUUUUCUCCUGAAACUUGACGAGUGCUUAUGUAAUUAAAUUACACACAAAAAUAUCGUCAACAGAGAGUUUAGCUACACUGCCAAAACCUCAGUCCUUACACUACACUAACUCACCACUAAGCACACAUUAAAAUACACAUUAACUCACCCACUAUCACAUAGUAAUGAACCCUCAUGAAUA
rnacentral:lncRNA from 1 species